GUCCUCAACCUCAUCCAGACCCAGAGAGUAUACGGCCAGUGUUCGAGUUUGACUUACAAUUUGACUUUUGAAGACAGCGUUCUGAUAAUUGAACAGCCGUUCUUUCUGAAGGAUGUCUUCUUGAGAAGUGACUGCCUUGACUGUGUGGUGGUCCAUGAAGAGAUCAAGACUAACCAAACCACCGUCACCAGUCUUCUGCUUUUCAGUAAGAGAAGAAAUGUCU